rnacentral:rRNA from 1 species
UACGUAGGGGCGAGCGUUGUCCGGAAUGACUGGGCGUAAAAGGCGUGUAGGCGGUCCGAUAAGUUUGGAGUGAAAGUCCUGCUUUCAAGGUGGGAAUUGCUUUGAAUACUGUCGGACUUGAGUGCGGAAAGGUAAGUGGAAUUCCCAGUGUAGCGGUGAAAUGCGUAGAGAUAUGGAGGAACACCAGUGGCGAAGGCGGCUUCCUGGUCUGUAACUGACACUGAGGCGCGAAAGCGUGGGGAGCAAACAGGAUUAGAUACCCUGGUAGUCCCU